CGUGACAGGCUCGCCUGCCAAUGGGGACCCCAAAAAACACUUUGCAGUACCUGUAAACAGUCUGAACAAACUUUAAACAUUAAAACUUUCAACAACGGAUCUCUUGGUUCUGGCAUCGAUGAAGAACGCAGCGAAAUGCGAUAAGUAGUGUGAAUUGCAGAAUUCAGUGAAUCAUCGAAUCUUUGAACGCACAUUGCGCCCUUUGGUAUUCCUUAGGGCAUGCCUGUUCGAGCGUCAUUUAAACCUUCAAGCUCAGCUUGGUGUUGGGUGACUGUCCGCUUGCGGACUCGCCUCAAAAUGAUUGGCGGACCGGUACUUUUGGCUUCGAGCGCAGCAGAAACGCGAACUCGAGGCCUGUGUGCUGGCUCCCAGAAGCUAUCUUCACAAUUUUGACCUCGGAUCAGGUAGGGAUACCCGCUGAACUUAAG
rnacentral:rRNA from 1 species